rnacentral:rRNA from 1 species
CAGCCGCCGCGGUAAAACGUAGGUGGCAAGCGUUGUCCGGAAUUAUUGGGCGUAAAGGGCUCGCAGGCGGUUCCUUAAGUCUGAUGUGAAAGCCCCCGGCUCAACCGGGGAGGGUCAUUGGAAACUGGGAAACUUGAGUGCAGAAGAGGAGAGUGGAAUUCCACGUGUAGCGGUGAAAUGCGUAGAGAUGUGGAGGAACACCAGUGGCGAAGGCGACUCUCUGGUCUGUAACUGACGCUGAGGAGCGAAAGCGUGGGGAGCGAACAGGAUUAGAUACCCCCGUAGUCCCUGUCUCUUAUAC